UAUCAUAUAUAUAAAAGCCAAUUUAAAAUAUGAAAUUUGAAAUUUAUAAUUUCUACUAUAAUUUUAAAUUUAAUUUUCAUAGAUAUACUGAAUCUGGGCAUGCAAAAGCUAUAUUAGCUAGGGUUUUUGUAAUUUUAUAAAUUGUAUUUUAGAUCCUUCGUUACAUAAUUUUUUUUUUUGGUUUCCCAUUCGGUGUCCGGUGCCCGCAUUGGAGUCCCGAAUAAUUCGGAUCGCGUUUUGCAGGGCCCAUUAAGGUAGCAACGCUCCCAACAGAGUUUUCUGCAUACACAGGGUUGAACCCUCGACCUCUGGUUAAGGGUGGAGCAGCCCCAUCCACUGCAUCACAACCCAUGUUGGUCCUUCGUCACGUAAUUGAAUAAACGAGAUGAUUUACUUUUAGUUAGAAGUUUUGAAUUUGUAUUGAUAGGUAAACGAAGAAAUUUCUUUAAUGAACCAUAUAUGCGUGGUGUAAUUUGGAUAAGAAGAGAAGAUUAC
rnacentral:lncRNA from 1 species